GUAAACGGCGGCCGUAACUAUAACGGUCCUAAGGUAGCGAAAUUCCUUGUCGGGUAAGUUCCGACCUGCACGAAAGGCGCAACGAAUUGGGCGCUGUCUCGACCAUGGACCCGGUGAAAUUCCACUAGUCGUGAAGAUGCGACUUACCCGCGGAAGGACGGAAAGACCCCGUGAACCUUCACUGCAGCUUGGCAUUGGCCGCUGGCCCGUCGCGUAGAGGAUAGGCGGGAGGCUUCGAAGCCCGGGCGCCAGCCCGGGUGGAGCCGACCUUGGAAUACCGCCCUCGGCGCGCCGGCGUCCUAACCCCAUGCCGUCAUCCGGAUGGGGGACCGUGCCAGGUGGGUAGUUUGACUGGGGCGGUCGCCUCCUAAAGGGUAACGGAGGCGCGCGAAGGUCCGCUCGGGACGGUCGGCAACCGUCCUCUUGAGUGCAAGAGCAUAAGCGGGCUUGACUGCGAGGCCUACAAGCCGAGCAGGUGCGAAAGCAGGCUCUAGUGAUCCGGCGGCCCCGCGUGGGUGGGCCGUCGCUCAACGGAUAAAAGGUACUCCGGGGAUAACAGGCUGAUCUUGCCCAAGAGUCCACAUCGACGGCAAGGUUUGGCACCUCGAUGUCGGCUCAUCGCAUCCUGGGGCUGGAGCAGGUCCCAAGGGUACGGCUGUUCGCCGUUUAAAGCGGUACGCGAGCUGGGUUCAGAACGUCGUGAGACAGUUCGGUCCCUAUCCUCCGCGGGCGCAGGAGAAUCGAGGGAGGCUGCCCCUAGUACGAGAGGACCGGGGUGGACGCACCUCUGGUGAACCGGUUGUCGACCAACGGCACGGCCGGGUAGCCACGUGCGGCGCGGAUAACCGCUGAAGGCAUCUAAGCGGGAAGCCGUUCCCGAGAUCAGUUCUCCUUCCGGUAAGGGCCCAGGUAGACUACCUGGUCGAUAGGCCGCAGGUGCAAGCACGGCGACGUGCUCAGCCGAGCGGUACUAAUAGCCCGAGCUCUUACCCGC
rnacentral:rRNA from 1 species